AGCGGCGGACGGGUGAGUAACACGUGGGUAACCUACCUUAUAGAUUGGGAUAACUCCGGGAAACCGGGGCUAAUACCGAAUAAUACUUUUUAACACAUGUUUGAAAGUUGAAAGACGGUUUCGGCUGUCACUAUAAGAUGGACCCGCGGCGCAUUAGCUAGUUGGUGAGGUAACGGCUCACCAAGGCAACGAUGCGUAGCCGACCUGAGAGGGUGAUCGGCCACACUGGGACUGAGACACGGCCCAGACUCCUACGGGAGGCAGCAGUAGGGAAUCUUCCACAAUGGACGAAAGUCUGAUGGAGCAACGCCGCGUGAGUGAAGAAGGAUUUCGGUUCGUAAAACUCUGUUGCAAGGGAAGAACAA
rnacentral:rRNA from 1 species